CAUGGUCCUUGUGUUGCAGUGGAUCAUGAAUUUAUUUUAUCUGUCAACCUCGCCCGUCAAAGUCCGUGGGCGGGACUAACAUGAAUCUAGUCUAAUCCACUGCUUUUGUCUGCCUUGAAACCGGAAGUAGAAGAAGUCUUUCUAAACAUGGAGGCUGUGUUGAGGGAGGAUCGCUGUGAACUUUCUAGAGAGUGGGUGAGAGAUAUUUUAGACCUUGCAGAGUAUGUGGAAGCAGGACCUGCUGACCCCGAGCAUGUAGCGUGUAAAGCAGAGGAAUUUAUUGAAGUUGUUGAAGUUAUUUCCGCACUUUCCGACCAAGGUGUUGACCGUAGAGUGACUGCAAAUUUAGAAGAAGUACUCCGCUGCUUUUCUGGUACCAGGGCGCAACAGGAGCACUCACAGGGACCAGGGCGUUUGGCGUUUGGCAUACCGAGGGAAGUUCUGGAACAUCACGUUCUUUGUGGAUUACCAGCCUGUCAAAUUGCAGCGAUGCUCGGAGUGUCGAGCGCUUUUCCUUUAGGACCUACUCGGCACGGCUCCGCUCGUCUUUGUUUAACCGCGAUUCCACAAGCAUCUACUCGGCACGGUACGGCUCGUCUCAUCUUUGUUUGCGAGCGUUUCCAUACGGACUAAUUUUCAGCACCUUCUCGGCUGAGGUUCCCAGCGAGCUGAGAUGAGCCGAUAAUGUGGCGUUUACAUAGUGCAGGCCACUGAUUGGACAGGGAGUGACGACACAGAGCAACUCCAGCACGAAAACAAAAUCCUGCAUUAAAAAACGACUGUAAACAGCAACAGUGUGCAUUGCUCUUCACGGAACUCUCUGUUCUUCAUAAUUUUAAUAUGACAGCCAGACCUGUACCGUGGGUGAAUGAAGAGGUCGAGACUUUGUCUUUGGUGGCGGACCAAAGAAUACAGAGGGAGCUGGACGGAGAAAGUUUAUCAGGAGGUCUCUGAGCGGAUGGCCGCUCACAUAUACAGUAGACUGUAUAUAAAGAGGACAGAGGCAGUGUAGGGAGAAGCUGAAAAAGCUCAAAAGUGACUAUCGGUCCACCCAGGACCACAACGGCCGGCGUGGGUCAACCAGGAGGUGUUGGAAGAGGUUUAAUGGAAGCUAUUUAAUGUCACCGCACCGCCAGCAACAGGAGGGAGACUCAGCCGCUGCAUGUUGGAGACGUUCGAGGACGGCAAGAGGAAAAGGGGCCACAGAAAACUGGACCUUCCAAGCGUACUUGUGGAGAUGCAGGCUGAGGAGGAGCGGAGUCAUGCCCAGCAUGAUGAGAACAUCUGGUUACUCCUCAGCGAGGCAAGAGAGAAUGAAGCGGCCUUGCAGCGGAGGAGAUGGCCCAGAAUACUGCCUUCAACCAGUCAUUCCUGGGUGUGCUGGGGCAGCUGGUGCAAGCAGUGGGCAGCCAGCGAGUCCACCUCCCAGAGACUUGAGAUUUACAAGUGCUGGUCAUAUAAUUAGAAUAUCAUGAAAAAGCUCGUCUUUUGGACAACUGUCUUCCCCAUGAUUGUGUAGCCUACAGAACUAGGCUGAGAGACCAUUUAAAGGCCUUUGCAGGUGUUUUGAGUUAAUUAGCUGAUUAGAGGUGUCUUCAGUAUUGAACCUUUCCACAAUAUUUUAAUUUUCUGAGAUACCAAAUUUGGGAUUUUUGUUAGUAUUCAGGUAUAAUCAUCAAAGUUAAGAGAAAUAAACAUUUGAAAUAUAUCAGUCUCUGUGUAAUGAAUGAGUAUAAUAUACAAGUUUCACUUUUUGAAUGGAAUUACUGAAAUAAUGAACAACUUUUUUCAUGAUAUUCUAAUUAUAUGACCAGCACCUGUAGUUGUAUAUAGUUUUACUUUUAGCCCUCCACUGUAGGAGAGGCCCACCACAGUUUGUACUUUGCACAUUGUAAAUAGUUUAGAUUUUGCUGCUGACUAAUAAACUAUUUUGUGACUUA